UACGAAGGGUGCAAGCGUUAUCCGGAUUCAUUGGGUUUAAAGGGUGCGUAGGCGGAACGUUAAGUCAGUGGUGAAAUCCUGCAGCUCAACUGUAGACUUGCCAUUGAUACUGGCGUUCUUGAGUGCGCUUGAAGUAGGCGGAAUGUGCAGUGUAGCGGUGAAAUGCUUAGAUAUUGCACAGAACACCGAUUGCGAAGGCAGCUUACUAAGGCGAUACUGACGCUGAGGCACGAAAGCGUGGGGAUCAAAC
rnacentral:rRNA from 1 species